CUACUCUUCUGAAUGUGUUCUGAGAAAAAAACUGGGCCUUAAGGGGCUGGGGAUUUAGCUCAGCGGCACAGCGCCUGCCUGGCAAGCGCGAGGUCGUGAGUUCGAUUUCCGGUACCGGAAAAAAAAAAAAAGAAAGAAAAAAGAAUUGAACCCUAGAUAGGACACCGGAGAUUGGUCAAUUUGCCUUUCUCUGCUAAUUUAGACAAACAAGCAAUUGAACAAAGCCUUGGAGUGGGAAAGAAACUUCAAAACUUUUAGGACAUCUGAAUUUCAAGUCUCAACUAGAAAUGUGUGACAGAAGUACAUUCGGAAGUUAGAGAUCUGUAAAAUUGUUCUCAUUAAACAACCAGAACCACAAAUUCUUCAAGAGAACACCUAAAGCCAGAGACAUCUGUGACAAAGCACAAUUCAUUCUUCAUCCUGACCGAAUUACUUUGCCUGCUGACAAGGUCAGGAAUUAUAGAACAAAUAUAAGCAGAUGAGUGUAUUCAAGAAGAUGUUAAUACAUCAAUGCUACUCCUUUUUCUUUCAGGCCGGAAAGAGACACAUUAUUUGUCUCCGUGAUGCAAUUCGGUUGACUGUGCUUAACCUGAAGAGAACUGUCCGCGUCCCUGUAAAUCCGAGGAAUCAUAUCUCUAACAAUCAAAUGUAUUCCAUCAUCUUAAAAAACUAAGCAUUUUAGAAGAGAAGAUAAAGAAAUCACUAAUCAUGCUUCUUCCAUAGAAAAUUAUAGAAAUAAGAGAGCCGUGUAUGCUGAAAACAAGCAGAAGAAAUGAUAAAAAUUUGAGAAGAGAGCAAGCCAAUUGGAAAUGAGAAAUCAAUAAAGAAAAUCAACAAAAGCACAAGCAAGAUUUUGACAAAUGGAAUUAUGCUCGAUGAAACACUUGUCCUCCCAGCCAAGCAAAAAGAGAUCAGACCUAACAUUUCAACAUGAGAAAUAGAAGAGAAACCACCAUUUAUGAUCCUAUGGGAAAGAUCAUAAAUAGCACUAAGAAGUGGACAUUCACCAGUUCAAUAACUUACACUAGCAGGACCAAUUCUUUGAAAGACACUGACUACCAAACCUCUCAAAGAGAAAUAAGUACAUAAUUUGAAUAAAUCUCUAUCUAUUCAAAGAAAUGAACCAAUAAUUAAUAAAAUUUCCAAAAGAGAAAGGACUAGGCACAGAGUUUCGUUGAAGAAUUCUACCAAACUUUUAAGAAGUAUAUAUCAAUUGUUCACAACCUAUUCAAAAAAUAAAAGUAAAAGGAAUAUUUACCCACUCACUGUAUAAAACAAUCAUAACUCAUAUCAGAUGAAAAUCUGAGAUAUUUUUCUGUAAGCACCACGUAUGCUGAAUCACAUAGAUAUUGAAACACUAAUUUUAUUAACACUUAACUGAAAAUAUUUUAUUUAGGAGUGUGUUGAAUAAUGUAGAAAUAUUUUGGGAUUUUCAACUACAGUUUUGUUAUUGGCUUUUAGUUUAAUUCUUUUGUAGUCUAAGAGUAUGCUUUGUAUGUUUUGUAUUUUAUAAACGUGCUUAUUUGCAUUUUAUGUCCCAUAAUACGUUUUAUCUUGUUGGGUGUUCAUUUAAGUGUUAGCUUAAUGGGUAAUGCUGCUGUUUGAUAAAAUAUACCAUAAAUAACAAUUAGGGAAUAAAACAAAAUAUUUAUGAAUUUAAACUAGAAAAGUCUUACCUUCUCAUAUCCAUAUUGUAUUCACAUCUUUUUUAAAAGAGAAAGAAACAAUUUUAUUUAGACUAUCUAAUAGAUCAAAUCAUCAUUAGAUUGCUAAACGGUUGGUUCCAUCUUAUGAAUUUUAGUACUUCCACUAUAGCAAAUUUCAAACCUCAAUAAAUUAGAAACUAGAUUAUUAUUUUAUUGUAUUUUUCUUUCUAAUUAUAAAUAUUUACUUAAUUGAAGUUUAUAUUAAUGUAAAUUUUAAAACUACUAAAGGCAUUUUUAUCAAAAUGAUUACAAUAUAAAGAUGGCACUUUCAUUACUUGAGUUGGUAGAAUUGAUAUUUUUUGCACAUUAGAAGUCAACUUUGCUGAUAUCUAACAGUUUAUUGAAAGGAACAGUUAAUGCUUUCUCUUUUUUUGACCACUUUUGCUUGUUUAUGUCUGGUAAUCUGAACAACUAGUUUGAGGACAAGAGCUUGCAACAUAACAGCCAUUAUUAAGUUCCUAUUAUCUUAUUUGGUGAAACUCUUUAGCAUCUAUAUGUUUUUUGUUUUAUUUUAUAUUCUCUUUAAUGGUUUGAUCAAUCUUGCAUCCUCACAUCUGGUAACCUGAGAACUUCAUUGAAGAUAACAGUAUGUAAUAUUACAACCACUCUUACUCCCUGUCAUUUUGUUCUAAAACCUG
rnacentral:lncRNA from 1 species